rnacentral:lncRNA from 1 species
GGUUGGUCAGACAUAAAAUAUAUUGAUCUAAAUCAGAUUAGUCAUUACAUCAGAUGUAUGUGACUAAUUAGAAGAGAUAUGAACCCAAAUCUUCUCACUAAAUAUUAAGUCUACUGGUCUUCCACCAUUGCAGAGAUGCGGGUGCCUUUUCUGACGUUGAUCAUUCUCGACUGGUUACAGUGGUUCGGUUGCAUCGAAAAGGCACAAUCACUCUAUUGACAUCAGAUGUCCCGAGGUAAAGAUAGGGUUGGGCCCAAUAACUGUUAGGUAAGGGAUCUAAUGAUGGUUUUGCACUCACUAG